AUUGAACGCUGGCGGCAUGCCUUACACAUGCAAGUCGAACGGUAACAGGUCUUCGGAUGCUGACGAGUGGCGAACGGGUGAGUAAUACAUCGGAACGUGCCCGACCGUGGGGGAUAACGAAGCGAAAGCUUUGCUAAUACCGCAUACGAUCUACGGAUGAAAGCAGGGGACCGCAAGGCCUUGCGCGAACGGAGCGGCCGAUGGCAGACUAGGGCGUUGGGGGGAUAAAAGCUUACCAAGCCGACGAUCUGUAGCUGGUCUGAGAGGACGACCAGCCACACUGGGACUGAGACACAGGCAAGACGACUACGGGAGGCAGCAGUAGGGAAUUUUGGACAAUGGGCGAAAGCCUAUUCCAGCCAUGCCGCGUGCAGGAUGAAGGCCUUCGGGUUGUAAACUGCUUUUGUACGGAACGAAAAGACUCUUUCUAAUAAAGAGGGUCCAUGACGGUACCGUAAGAAUAAGCACCGGCUAACUACGUGCCAGCCGCCGCCGUAAGAC
rnacentral:rRNA from 1 species